rnacentral:rRNA from 1 species
AACGAACGCUGGCGGCAUGCCUAACACAUGCAAGUCGAACGAGACCUUCGGGUCUAGUGGCGCACGGGUGCGUAACGCGUGGGAACCUGCCCUUAGGUUCGGAAUAACUCCCCGAAAGGGGUGCUAAUACCGGAUAAUGUCUUCGGACCAAAGAUUUAUCGCCUUUGGAUGGGCCCGCGUUGGAUUAGCUAGUUGGUAGGGUAAAAGCCUACCAAGGCGACGAUCCAUAGCUGGUCUGAGAGGAUGAUCAGCCAGACUGGGACUGAGACACGGACCAGACUCGUACGGAAGGAAGCAGUGGGGAAUAUUGGACAAGGGGCGAAAGCCUGAUCCAGCAGUGCCGCGUGAGUGAUGAAGGCCUUAGGGUUGUAAAGCUCUUUUACCCGGGAUGAUAAUGACAGUACCGGGAGAAGAAGCGCCGGCUAACUCCGUG